AGUGAACGCUGGCGGUAGGCCUAACACAUGCAAGUCGAACGGCAGCACAGGAGAGCUUGCUCUCUGGGUGGCGAGUGGCGGACGGGUGAGGAAUACAUCGGAAUCUACCUUGUCGUGGGGGAUAACGUAGGGAAACUUACGCUAAUACCGCAUACGACCUUCGGGUGAAAGUGGGGACCGCAAGGCCUCACGCGAUUAGA
rnacentral:rRNA from 1 species